CAGCAGCCACGGGAAAACGAAGGGGGCUAGCGUUGUUCGGAUUUACUGGGCGUAAAGCGCACGUAGGCGGAUGAUUAAGUCAGGGGUGAAAUCCCGAGGCUCAACCUCGGAACUGCCUUUGAUACUGGUCAUCUUGAGUCCGGGAGAGGUGAGUGGAACUGCGAGUGUAGAGGUGAAAUUCGUAGAUAUCAUCAGGAACUCCGGUGGCGAAGGCGGCCCGCUGGACCCCAUCUGACGCUGAGGCGCGAAAGCCAGGGGAGCAAAUGGGAUUAGAUACCCGAGUAGUCCCUGUCUCUUAUAA
rnacentral:rRNA from 1 species